rnacentral:rRNA from 1 species
GAUGAACGCUGACAGAAUGCUUAACACAUCAGCAAUUGAUUGGUGGCGGACGGGUGAGUAACGCGUAAAGAACUUUCCUCCCAGGUAGGGACAACAUUUGGAAACGAAUGCUAAUACCUAAUACUGUGAGAGAGCUUUGCGUCCCAUUAGCUAGUUGGAGAGGUAACGGCUCACCAAGGCGAUGAUGGGUAGCCGGCCUGAGAGGGUGAUCGGCCACGAGGAGACUGCGACGCGGCCCUUACUACGACGGUAGGGAUCAGUGGGGAAUAGUGAACAAUGGACCAAAGUCUGAACCAGAAAUUCUGUGUGCACGAUGAAGUUUUCGGAAUGCAAAGUGCUUUCAGUUGGGAAGCGGUACCAACAGAAGAAGUGACGGCUAAAUACGUGCCAGCAGCCGCGGUAAUUC